AGACCCUAGACGUAUCGGCCAAAUCUCUGAGGACCUUCAGCCAUAUUGGUGAAUCUGAACAUGAACCGCUCACUGGGGAUCGACUUUAUUGUCGCUGUUGCUGUCGCAAUAGCUGUCCUGAUCAUGGCGCCGAACGAAGCUGCUGCCAUACACGGUGAUUUUGUCAACCCGUUGGGCCGCAAGAAGUGAACCAAUGCUACCCGGCGAUGAAGUCGUUCCUCUUUUUCUAAUUGCAUAAAUCUUCAGUCAUGUCGAAUAAAAGAAUUUAGCAAAGACGAAA